rnacentral:rRNA from 1 species
UUCCACUCUAGCGAGACUGCCGGUAAUAAACCGGAGGAAGGUGGGGAUGACGUCAAAUCAUCAUGCCCCUUAUGACCUGGGCUACACACGUGCUACAAUGGUUGGUACAACGAGUUGCGAGUCGGUGACGGCGAGCUAAUCUCUUAAAGCCAAUCUCAGUUCGGAUUGUAGGCUGCAACUCGCCUACAUGAAGUCGGAAUCGCUAGUAAUCGCGGAUCAGCACGCCGCGGUGAAUACGUUCCCGGGCCUUGUACACACCGCCCGUCUCUCCACGAGAGUUUGUAACACCCGAAGUCGGUGAGGUAACCUUUUGGAGCCAGUCGCCUAAUGUGGGACAGAUGAUUGGGGUGAAGUCGUAACAAGGUAACCGUUAAU